ACUCAAAUGAAUAGACGGGGACCCGCACAAGCGGUGGAGCAUGUGGUUUAAUUCGACGCAACGCGAAGAACCUUACCUGGGUUAAAUCUCAGACCGCAGCCCCAGAGAUGGGGUCUCCCUUCGGGGGGUCUGGGAAGGUGCUGCAUGGCUGUCGUCAGCUCGUGCCGUGAGGUGUUGGGUUAAGUCCCGCAACGAGCGCAACCCUUACCACUAGUUGCCAGCAGGUCAAGCUGGGCACUCUAUUGGGACUGCCGGUGACAAACCGGAGGAAGGUGGGGAUGACGUCAAGUCAUCAUGGCCUUUAUGUCCAGGGCUACACACGUGCUACAAUGGCAGGAACAAAGCGCUGCAAACCCGCGAGGGGGAGCCAAUCGCAAAAAUCCUGUCUCAGUUCGGAUUGGAGUCUGCAACUCGACUCCAUGAAGUUGGAAUCGCUAGUAAUCGCGGAUCAGCACGCCGCGGUGAAUACGUUCCCGGGUCUUGUACACACCGCCCGU
rnacentral:rRNA from 1 species